AACAACACCCAACGCCGUUUCUUUCUCUACCCGCAAGUCGCCCCCCCCAGAUUUGCCCGAGCAAGUUCUCCCUUGGCUCUCGCGCUCCGAAACCCUAGCCGCAGGCAAGCUCUCCCCUCGCCUCACCCCCCCCGCGCGGGACGAGCCGGGCGUCAUGGCCGCCGAGAACUACUGGAGGUACGCCGACGCGCGGCAGCAGCAGCAGGCGAUGGUGGCCGCCGCGGCGGCCGCGGCUGGGAUGGCCCCCGCUGCGUCGGUCGCCGCCGCACAGACGGUCGGUGGCGCCGCGGCGGGCAUGAACCCGCAGGCCGCCGCCGCCAUGGCGCAGCAGGCCGCCGCGCCGCCGCUCAAGCGCGCGCGCCCCGACUUCGGAGAUGUGUCUGGAGGACAAGACAUGACAGGAUAUUAUCCACGUGAAACUGACAGGGCAGGUUACCAUUCACUUAGAGAGAAUGAAGCAAUCGGAGCAUCUUAUGAUCGUUACCUGCGCAAUGGGAUGCCCUCCGUCGGUGCCAAUGACACUAGUAGGGCUGCUGGAAUGGCUGCUGGGAUGGCUGCGGGGAUGGGUGCUGGGAUGGCUGCUGGAAUGGGUGCUGGGAUGGCUGGCUAUGGUGUUGAUGAACGGCGUAUGAUGGGUGUUGUUGGUAUGGACAGCAGAGGGAUGGGCUACGGUGGCAGACCUGAGCCUCCUCUUCCUCCGGAUGCAUCAAACACUUUGUAUAUUGAGGGAUUACCUGCAAACUGCACACGCCGGGAGGUUUCACACAUAUUUCGCCCAUUUGUAGGUUUUCGUGAAGUGCGACUUGUCAACAAAGAGUCCAGACAUCCUGGUGGAGACCCACAUGUGUUGUGUUUUGUUGAUUUUGACAACCCUGCUCAAGCUACAAUUGCUCUUGAAGCGUUGCAAGAAAAAAAAAGGGAGAUAACGAAUUGCAACGACCCAACAAGGACAUGACAUCUAACGUAUUUGACCAUCAGUUCUACGCAAAAAAAAAAAAGAGUACUGAUCUAGGAAGUGAUCUUGAGGUUUUGCAACCACCUGGUUGAGGCUUUCUCAAUAGGCAGAUGGUGCAUUUUUCUUUUGGCGCCAAGAUAAAGGAUCGGACCACUGCUAGCUGCCUAUAGGAUUAGCCGUGGCGGCUGAAACUCCAGCGGCGUGGGAUCUAUUGGCGGUUCCUCCGGCAGCAGCUGGUGAACAGCGUGGCUCGACGGCAAAAAUCCAUUGGGAACAACCGACAAUGCCAGCGACUAUACCAGACAAACCGCACCAAGCAACAUCACAGCUCGACGCCUGAACGGGCAACAGAUUUGGGGAGGGUCGGGGUCACUGGAUGAAACCUGUCACUAUCUUACCCAUCAUCGAUUCAUCAACUUGUAAACGCACAGGAUGGGCCACAACAGAGGAGAAAGCAUAGUGACAGCUCAAUCAUAAUCGGUAGGCUUGUAGCAUUCAAAUUGGUCUGCUUCACAAGGUUCUUAAACUAAAUAGGUGUUUAAAGUGCUUCCAUGACAAAGUAUCAUGGUGUCACUGGCCGAUACAUCGGAGUUUAACAUU